rnacentral:rRNA from 1 species
AUGCACUCUACAUGCAUGCAGAACUUGUUCGUGGCGGGCACGGACACAACAUUGAUCAUGGUGGAGUGGGCCAUGGCAGAGCUGAUCCGGCACCCGGACACCCUGAAGCAGGCGCAGGAAGAGCUGGACACCAUCGUGGGCCGUGAGAGGCUCAUCUCGGAGUCACACCUGCCGCGCCUCACCUUCCUGAGCGCGGUCAUCAAGGACACUUUCCGGCUGCACCCAUCGACGCCGCUCUUGCUACUGCGGAUGGCCACUGAGGAGUGUGAGACCGCCGGCUACCGCAUUCCCAAGGGGACAGAGCUUCUAGUGAAUGUGUGGGGGAUCGCCCACGAUCCGGCCCUGUGGCCCGACUCGCUGGAGUUCAGGCCUGCCUGGUUCCUCCCCGGAGGGUCGCAUGCUGACGUCGACGUCAAGGGAGGUGACUUCGGGCUGAUACCAUUUGGGGCGGGCCGGAGGAUAUGCGCGGGCCUCAGCAGGGGCAUUAGGAUGGUUGCCGUGACCACCGCCACGUUGGUGCACUCGUUCAACUGGGAGCUGCCAGCAGGCCAGACGCCGGACAUGGAGGGGACAUUUUCUCUGCUGCUGCAGCUGGCCGUGCCAUUGAUGGUCCACCCGGUGCCUAGGCUGCUCCCAUCGGCAUACCAAAUCGCAUAA